rnacentral:rRNA from 1 species
UACGUAGGGUGCAAGCGUUGUCCGGAAUUAUUGGGCGUAAAGAGCUCGUAGGCGGUUUGUCGCGUCUGCUGUGAAAACUCGGGGCUUAACCCCGGGCCUGCAGUGGGUACGGGCAGACUAGAGUGCGGUAGGGGAGACUGGAAUUCCUGGUGUAGCGGUGAAAUGCGCAGAUAUCAGGAGGAACACCGGUGGCGAAGGCGGGUCUCUGGGCAGUAACCGACGCUGAGGAGCGAAAGCGUGGGGAGCGAACAGG